rnacentral:misc_RNA from 1 species
GAAAUGCGAUACGUAAUGUGAAUUGCAAAUUCAGUGAAUCAUCGAGUCUUUGAACGCACAUUGCGCCCCCUGGUAUUCCGGGGGGCAUGCCUGUCCGAGCGUCAUUUCUGCCCUCAAGCACGGAUUGUGUGUUGGGCCCCGUCCUCCGAUCCCGGGGGACGGGCCCGAAAGGCAGCGGCGGCACCGCGUCCGGUCCUCGAGCGUAUGGGGCUUUGUCACCCGCUCUGUAGGCCCGGCCGGCGCUUGCCGAUCAACCCAAAUUUUUAUCCAGGUUGACCUCGGAUCAGGUAGGGAUACCCGCUGAACUUAAGC